rnacentral:rRNA from 1 species
UACGAAGGGGGCUAGCGUUGUUCGGAAUUACUGGGCGUAAAGCGCACGUAGGCGGAUAUUUAAGUCAGGGGUGAAAUCCCAGAGCUCAACUCUGGAACUGCCUUUGAUACUGGGUAUCUUGAGUAUGGAAGAGGUAAGUGGAAUUGCGAGUGUAGGGGUGAAAUUCGUAGAUAUUCGCAGGAACACCAGUGGCGAAGGCGGCUUACUGGUCCAUAACUGACGCUGAGGUGCGAAAGCGUGGGGAGCAAACAGG